rnacentral:misc_RNA from 1 species
GUGGAAUACAUCCAAGAAGAUCUAGCUGGGGAAGAGAAAGCAGAAGCUGGGACAUGUCACCUGAAGUUCUUGCUUUGGCGGCCAGAGUAGGCGAACCAAACCGUGUGGGUGUGAGUAGCAGUGGUAGCUUGACAACUGAGAACUGAGUUUCGUAGCCAGAAGCUUGUCUUACAACCAACCCAGGGGAUGGGAGAAGAUUGGAUCUGUUGAGUGCUAGGUGGGACCAUUUGAGUUCAUGCUUAAUCAUUCAGCGUUCCAAACUAUGUUAUGUUCAGUAUCGGGUAACCUUUUUGGCAGUGUUUGGAGGCGUUGGUUUGGCCAUUUUUCUUGUAGGGGGUUGUGAUGGAAUGGGGGAUUGCUGUAUGAGUGAGAUUGCUUC